AGCCUUCCUCAAGUACGGGAACCUGAUUCACUAAUGGGAAGCCAAGGGGUCUUCCUCGGGUGCAGGAAACCGAUUCACCAGUGACAAGCUGAGGGAUGUUCCUCAGGUACGAGAACACGAUACUUUCAAGUAUGGGAAUUAGGACCAUAAGGGAGUAGAUUGCUCACCCUUAUGCAAUAAGUCAGGCAUCUCGUCGGGUUGUCAUUGAAACCCAUGAAUUCGAUUGAAUUUAGCCUGUAUUUAAUAUUUACAGUACAUUAAUUAAUCUGUGUCGUGUGGUGUACCAUGAAACAGGACGUUUUAGCAGAUCUAGGAAGGUUCAAGUAGAUCUAGAAAGGUUGUUGCGCAAAGGAGUUGUAAGUAUUUCUGGUUCUGAACCUAGAUUAGGAUUUUAAAUUUAUGC
rnacentral:lncRNA from 1 species